UAGGGAAUCUUCGGCAAUGGACGAAAGUCUGACCGAGCAACGCCGCGUGAGUGAAGAAGGUUUUCGGACCGUAAAACUCUGUUGUUAGAGAAGAACAAGGGUGAGAGUAACUGUUCACCCCUUGACGGUAUCUAACCAGAAAGCCACGGCUAACUACGUGCCAA
rnacentral:rRNA from 1 species